AUGGCAAAACAAACAGUACCAACAGUUUGCAUCUUAGUGCUUUUAUUCGUCACAGUCUUUACUCAAGUGAUAGUUGGUUGGAACUCCAACGAAGACUGUCCAGGAAUUCCCUUCAUCCCUAUUUAUCUUUGUGGACCCAUCAUUGCCUUCUUUGCAUGGUGUAUGUACAGGUCAUGUAACCUGCUUUGUUUGUCCGUGACCACCCUCUUCUUCAUUUGCUGGUACAUUGCUGGUAAUGCAGUGAUCUACAGCAAUUAUAAACAACUACAGAUUACAGACUACAGAUACUGCAAUAAGACGCUCUACCUUUUUGCAUUUUGGAGCACCACUCUGACCAACGUCUUAUUAUUUAUUUGUUGUUGUUGCUGUUGUAAAGAAGAGGCAGAUGAGGUUGUUGAUGUUCAAGUAUAA
rnacentral:lncRNA from 1 species